rnacentral:tRNA from 1 species
AAUAAAAUGCCUGAUAAAAGGAUUAUUCUGAUAGAAUAAAUUAUAUAGAAUAACUAUUUUUAUUG